UACGGGGGGGGCAAGCGUUGUUCGGAAUUACUGGGCGUAAAGGGCGCGUAGGCGGCCUUCUAAGUCGGACGUGAAAUCCCUCGGCUCAACCGAGGAACUGCGUCUGAUACUGGAAGGCUUGAAUCCGGGAGAGGGAUGUGGAAUUCCAGGUGUAGCGGUGAAAUGCGUAGAUAUCGGAAGGAACAUCAGUGGCGAAAGCGGCUUCCUGGACCAGUACCGACGUUCAGGCACGAAAGCGUGGGGAGCAAACAGG
rnacentral:rRNA from 1 species